GCUGAAUUAUUCACCCUUGUCUUUUGCGUACUUCUUGUUUCCUUGGUGGGUUCGCCCACCACUAGGACAAACAUAAACCUUUUGUAAUUGCAAUCAGCGUCAGUAACAAAUUAAUAAUUACAACUUUCAACAACGGAUCUCUUGGUUCUGGCAUCGAUGAAGAACGCAGCGAAAUGCGAUAAGUAGUGUGAAUUGCAGAAUUCAGUGAAUCAUCGAAUCUUUGAACGCACAUUGCGCCCUUUGGUAUUCCAAAGGGCAUGCCUGUUCGAGCGUCAUUUGUACCCUCAAGCUUUGCUUGGUGUUGGGCGUCUUGUCUCUAGCUUUGCUGGAGACUCGCCUUAAAGUAAUUGGCAGCCGGCCUACUGGUUUCGGAGCGCAGCACAAGUCGCACUCUCUAUCAGCAAAGGUCUAGCAUCCAUUAAGCCUUUUUUUCAACUUUUGACCUCGGAUCAGGUAGGGAUACCCGCUGAACUUAAGCAUA
rnacentral:rRNA from 1 species